rnacentral:rRNA from 1 species
UACGUAGGUGGCAAGCGUUGUCCGGAAUUAUUGGGCGUAAAGAGCUCGUAGGCGGUUUGUCGCGUCUGCUGUGAAAACUGGAGGCUCAACCUCCAGCCUGCAGUGGGUACGGGCAAACUAGAGUGCGGUAGGGGAGAUUGGAAUUCCUGGUGUAGCGGUGGAAUGCGCAGAUAUCAGGAGGAACACCGAUGGCGAAGGCAGAUCUCUGGGCCGUAACUGACGCUGAGGAGCGAAAGCGUGGGGAGCAAACAGG